rnacentral:snoRNA from 1 species
GCCAUUGCAACUGAUGACAACUUCUUUCCCCAUCAGAUCGACCCUGUUGAUCUACUUGUUAUUAGCCAGUUUUUGUCUGAUGCACUGGC